rnacentral:rRNA from 1 species
AUAGCGUAUAUUAAAGUUGUUGCAGUUAAAAAGCUCGUAGUUGAAUUUCGGGGAUGGGUCGGGGGGUCCGUCGGCAACGAUGUGUACUGCUAAUCGACCCUCCCUUUCCUCCUGGGCGAUCGCGAUUCCCGCAAGGGGCGUGAUCCACUCCAGGAAUUUUACUUUGAAAAAAUUAGAGUGUUCAAAGCAGGCAUAACCGCUUGUAUACAUUAGCAUGGAAUAAUAGAAUAGGACAGUGGUCCUAAUUUUGUUGGCUUUCAGGACCGCAGUAAUGAUAAAUAGGAACAGUUGGGGGCAUUUGUAUUGGGGAGCUAGAGGUGAAAUUCUUGGAUUUCCCCAAGACAAACUACUG